CCUACGGGCGGCAGCAGUGGGGAAUAUUGCACAAUGGGCGCAAGCCUGAUGCAGCCAUGCCGCGUGUGUGAAGAAGGCCUUCGGGUUGUAAAGCACUUUCAGCGGGGAGGAAGGCGGUGAGGUUAAUAACCUCAUCGAUUGACGUUACCCGCAGAAGAAGCACCGGCUAACUCCGUGCCAGCAGCCGCGGUAAUACGGAGGGUGCAAGCGUUAAUCGGAAUUACUGGGCGUAAAGCGCACGCAGGCGGUCUGUCAAGUCGGAUGUGAAAUCCCCGGGCUCAACCUGGGAACUGCAUUCGAAACUGGCAGGCUAGAGUCUUGUAGAGGGGGGUAGAAUUCCAGGUGUAGCGGUGAAAUGCGUAGAGAUCUGGAGGAAUACCGGUGGCGAAGGCGGCCCCCUGGACAAAGACUGACACUCAGGUGCGAAAGCGUGGGGAGCAAACAGGAUUAGAUACCCUAGUAGUC
rnacentral:rRNA from 1 species